rnacentral:rRNA from 1 species
CCUACGGGAGGCAGCAGUGGGGAAUAUUGGACAAUGGGCGAAAGCCUGAUCCAGCCAUGCCGCGUGUGUGAAGAAGGCCUUCGGGUUGUAAAGCACUUUCAGUGGGGAAGAAAGCCUUGGGGCUAAUACCCUCGAGGAAGGACAUCACCCACAGAAGAAGCACCGGCUAACUCCGUGCACAGCAGCCGCGGUAAUACGGAGGGUGCGAGCGUUAAUCGGAAUUACUGGGCGUAAAGCGCGCGUAGGCGGUCUGAUAAGCCGGUUGUGAAAGCCCCGGGCUCAACCUGGGAACGGCAUCCGGAACUGUCAGGCUAGAGUGCAGGAGAGGAAGGUAGAAUUCCCGGUGUAGCGGUGAAAUGCGUAGAGAUCGGGAGGAAUACCAGUGGCGAAGGCGGCCUUCUGGACUGACACUGACGCUGAGGUGCGAAAGCGUGGGUAGCAAACAGGAUUAGAUACCCGAGUAGUC